CCUUAAUGAUAUUUUUUAAUUCUUAUAUAAGUAAUAAUUUAUUUUAGACUUAAUUGCACUUUUGGCCCCUAUCUUUUCAAAAGUUGCGAUUUUGGCCCCCUAAUCAAUUAAAAUACAAAACAGCCCCCUAUGUAUUGCAUUUUGGCAGUUUUGGCCCCGAAGGUCACUUUUGACUUAGUCUUCGCUGACGUGGCACCCACACCCCAUAAGUGAGGUGCCACGUGUAACAGCCCGAUUUUUAGCUAGUUUUAUUUAAUUACUUUUAUUGUGUGAUUGUAUGUGAUUAAUUGUGCUUGUGUGUAUUUAAUUGUCAUUGGGUGCAUUUAAAUGGAUUACCGUAUUAGAAGGGUAUUUUGGUCAUUUGACGGGUAAGGGUAAAAUGGUAAUUUUGGUGAGAAUUAUUUUAUAAUUAGUGAGAACCCUUAUUUUACUAAGUUACUAGUGGAGUGAUUAGUUUUUACCGUUAGUAACCGUUGGUUAUAUUUUACCGUCGUUAGUAAUUACCGUCGAGUGUAUAGAAACUUUUGAAUUGUGUUAGAAUAGGUUAGGCCCAUUAGCAUUUUGAGUUAAGCCCAUUAAGGGGGAUAACACUAGGGUUGUCUUAGAAUUGUAUUCAUUUUCACAAAACAAUUUUCAUAGAGAGAAGGAGAGGUAGAGAGAGAAGAGAAGAAGAGAAGAACAAGAGGGUUGAAGGGAAGCUUUAGGAAUCAAGUGGGUGACCUAGGAGCUGAAUUGAAACUAGGAUUAAGGAUAAUCAACUUCAAAGGUAAGGGGGUUAGUUAUUAUCAUAAUCAUGUGUAAUUUUGCAUUUUCUCAUGUUGUAUGAAAAUGGGUUGAUGAACAAUUCAUGCUAAAUUCGUGCUCUUGCUGUGAUGUUAUGUUUGUAUGCAUGAAUUGAUGUUAGUUGUAUAAUUGUUGGUGAAAUUACAUGUUCAUAUAUGCAAAAGUGAUAAGUUAUGAAGAUUGUGCUAAAGUGGUGAAUUUCUCCUAAGUUGUUGUUAAUUUGAGUUGUGAUUCUUGUUCAAAUGAUGUUAUGAAUGUUAUUUGAUAUUAUGAUUGAUGAAUAAUUGCUUGGGUAUGCAUAUUCAUGGAUUGAUGAUGAGAAUUUGAAUUGUGUUGGUGUUUUGGUGAAAAUGAAGAGUUAGCGUAAGUGUCAAGUGUUUUCAAGUUUGAUUGUGUCUUUGUAAGUCUUUUUAGUCAUAUUAACCUAUAAACAUGUUCUGGAAACACAUUUGGGCAUUGAGGGAUCAAAAUUUGGGUUUUGGGGUGAAAAAUGGUUCAAACCCGUGAAAAAUUAUGCAGAAAUGAUGACUGUUCGCUUAAGCGAACCGGAAGCGAGCUGUAAGCGAACAGCUACUGUAAGCAGUUCGCUUAAGCGAAUAAUCGUUCGCUUAAGCGAAAUGCCUUUUGACAGCAUUUCUGAUUUCGCAUUCUUGUGUCUUUUUCACACGUUUCUGUUUUGAAUUGGACUUUGGUGUAAACAUGAAAGUUGUAGAUAAUUUUGUUAGCUUUCUAAUGGCUUUGGUUUGACGUCCAAAUGAUUUUUAGAACUUGAGAUAUGAUUAAAUUACUACACAUGGGUCAUGUGGAUUUUUGUGAAAACUUAUCAUAACUUUCUCUAUGAGCCAUGAAAUUUUUCCAAACUUGAUAUUGUGUUUAAUGAAGUACUUAGAGUGAAUAAUUGAGUAUGCAUUUAUGUAUCUGGGAAUGUGAAUGUGUUGAUGGUUUAAGAAAUAUUUCGGGCGGAGUUGAAUCGGUGAAAACGGGUUUUGAGCUAAAUGUCGUUUUGUCUUGGUUUUUCUCAUACGAACUUGAGCUACCCUUUGAAUUAAUUUCUAAUAGUUUGUAAGUGGCUUAAGUCCUUGACUACAUGAUUGAUUAAGAUUGAAUUGUAGGAUUUCAAACUUAAAUAAGUUGUCUAGCUUUAAAAAUUGUCAAUGUUGGCCGUUUGCCACAUGUUUUGGAUUUUUGUUGGAAAUGUUUCUUAAGCAAAUUGUCUUGUGAGUUAUUGAGAUUAUUCUUGUAUGACUAAGUGAAGUUGUAUGAAUGAAUGAUUGUAUUGAAUAUGAUGUUUAUCAUGAGAUGUGUAUGCUAUCUUACUUAGAAUGUAAGGAAUGCUUGAAUGGUGAAACUAUAUGUGAUAGUUGAUGUUGAAUGGUUUUAUGUUGGAUAUGAUAUUUGUCAUGAGAUGUUGUAUGUUCUCUUACUUGGGAUGUGAGAAUUGUUUGGAAUGGUGAAACUAUAUGAUAUAGUUGAUGUUGAAUGACAUUGUUGAUUAUUGAUAAUCAUGUUGAUGUGUGAUGGUGAAUACUAUGAUUUAUUUGUGUGGGCAUGUUUUCUUGAUAAUGCAAUGUUGUGGAGAUAAUCAAUAUAAUUGGGUGUCGUCCUAUAUAUUGAGUUGAGAUUGUGAAUUGUUGUCGCAUUAUCGAGUUCUUACACAUGUCCAUGCAUCAUAGUCGUUGUUGCUGUAAAAGGGAUGACUCUUUUACUUCGAGAUUAUUGUAAGGCAGAGGUGAGCCUUACAUGCGAUGUUGACUUGUCCAUCGGAGGUGACGACCUUGUUGAGAUUUGGUACCACAUGCAUUUAUGUGUCCAUAAGUGCAUAUCAUAGCAUGAGUCUUAUGUGAAAUAUGUGAUUGGUGAUGAAUUGAGAUGAAUGAUUAUUGAUGAUGUUUGUGAUUGACGAUUGUGAAUGAAUAUUUGUGAAUUGAUAAUUGUUCAUGAAUUAUGAUAAUGAUUGUUCAUGACUUUGGAUUGGUGAUUGUUCAUGAUGUAUAUGAUCGGUGAUUGUUCAUGAUGUAUAUGAUCAGUGAUUGUUCAUGAUGUAUAUGAUUGGUGAUCGUGUAUGAAUAACUAUGAAUUGAUAUUUAUUUAUGAUACAAGUAAUUGGUGAUUGUUCAUGAAAUGUGAUUAAUGAUUAUUCAUGAUAAACGUGAUUGGUGAUUAUGAAUGAAUAAUUGUAAAUUGAUAAUUGUUCAUAUGAUUGACGAAUAUUGAUGUGAGAUAUCGGGGUGUGAUGUAAGUAUUAAUGUGUAAUUAUUAUUGAUCAAGUGCAUGAUGUUUAAAUUGAAAUAUUCAUGUUAACUGUUAUUUGGAUUAUGAUAAUGUAAUACUUACCCCCAGUGGAUCUGUUAUGGACCGCCUGCCUAUCUGUAUGGAUGGGUAGACGUUGUGCAGGAUUAGAUGCUUGGUGAGUUCUUGUGCUUGGUGGAUAUCUGGAGCUUUCUCCGAUAUCGGUGUUUAGAUGUUUAGUCGGCUCUGAUCUAGGCUUAGUUGUGUCAGUCUAGAUUAUCUUUUACUUUGGUUUUGUUAUGUUUGGAGAUUACCCGUUUGUUGGGAUUUUUGAGAUGCAUCUAUGUUGAUGUAAUUUAUUUAUUCAUAACAUGUAUAUUUGAAUUUACUCUGGUUUAUAUUCCGCUGCGACUGUUGAGGUUUAUAUACAUGUUUAUUGGUUUUUGAAUUUUGAAUGUGGCGUAGCC
rnacentral:lncRNA from 1 species